UACGAAGGGGGCUAGCGUUGCUCGGAAUGACUGGGCGUAAAGGGCGCGUAGGCGGAUGGUACAGUCAGAUGUGAAAUUCCUGGGCUCAACCUGGGGGCUGCAUUUGAUACGUGCUGUCUUGAGUUCGGAAGAGGGUCGUGGAAUUCCCAGUGUAGAGGUGAAAUUCGUAGAUAUUGGGAAGAACACCGGUGGCGAAGGCGGCGACCUGGUCCGAAACUGACGCUGAGGCGCGAAAGCGUGGGGAGCAAACAGG
rnacentral:rRNA from 1 species